UUUUUUUUUUUAAUAAUUCAAUAUGUUUUUAUUAAAAAAUUUCUAUCAUAAUAUUAUCUAAAAAACAGUAAUAUAAAAAACUUAUAAAAUGUUAAAAAUGAAUUCUCAUUUAUUAAGGAUAUUCAUCAUCUUAGCCUUCAUUUGUUUAGCAAUGAUUCGAUGCCGAGUGCCCGAAGAUGAAUAUACACAAGUUCAAUCUAGCAAUGAUCAAGAAGUGAGUAUGACUGAUGAUGUUAGAAGUUUAAAUUUAUGGACUACAAUAUCGG